UCCUGCUACUACAAAAACCCCACCUCACACGGCAUUCAGAUACUGAAACUACUCCAUCAACCCUCUUUAUCUUCUUAGCCUUAUGGGAUUGCAUGCAUGAAAGGAAUCCAAAACCUGUUUGCUCAUGAUCAUCUAGUAUUACAGCAGAGUAAAUAUCAAAACUAUGCGGGAAAAAUCAGGCACAUUUGACAAGCUGGAGUCCGCUGUGAAAAGCAUUUCACAUGCAUCAACUGAUUCACGGAGUUAUUUGAGUGGUUUUGAAAAUAACAGUAGUGUCUCCACAGAAGUAUUAGUGUUUGGUAAUAGCAGAUCAAGUCUAACCUUGCCAAGCCAACAAAAUGCUGGACUGGUGACAACAUCUAAUGAAUUAGAAGCAAAGUUUUUGGAGAAAAGUGGAGGUGAAAUAUACAGAGAAGUGGAAACUGCAAAGUUCCUAGAAUCAGACCAAAAUAGUGCACAAGAACUUCUCAAAUUCUCAAGUAUAGCUUCUCCGACGAUGAGCGAACAUCUAAUACCAGUUACUCAACUGAAACUUG